rnacentral:rRNA from 1 species
UACGUAGGUCGCAAGCGUUGUCCGGAUUUACUGGGCGUAAAGAGCGCGCAGGCGGCUGGUCAAGUCCGAUGUGAAAUCUCCCGGCUCAACUGGGAAACUGCAUCGGAAACUGAUCGGCUUGAAGAUGGGAGAGGGUAGUGGAAUUCCCGGUGUAGUGGUGAAAUGCGUAGAUAUCUGGAGGAAUACCGGUGGCGAAGGCGGCAUCCUGGACCGGCAUUGACGCUGAGGAGCGAAAGCCAGGGGAGCAAACGGG